UUAACAAACCAAAAAAGUGUAAAAAACCAUACAGUACUUGGUUGAUACAUAAUGUUUUAACAACAAAAAUACAGCACCCCCCUCCCCCCAUCUUGCCUCAAAAUGGUUUGAUCCUGCUCAACUUUCCCAACUCGGGCUCUGAGCCGCUACCUGCAGAGCUAAGCGCUGCCCCACAGAAGGUAAUGUGCCAUGGUGGUGUGAGUACCUGGUUUGAACUUCUACCACUCUAUACCAACACAUUAUUAUCAUUAUCAGUCCUCAUUUUUGCUGCAUUUAAUCAAAGGUUACUGUUUAUGUUGUUAGGUAGGAGUUAGCUUAUGUUUUUUCUAGCUAGCAAACGUUACAGGUGGUCAGUGUCUGUUUGAAUUGGACUGAGAGAAGCUAGCUGUUGUGUCAGUGCAUGAAUUAAUAUUAAAGCCAAGGUGCUACUGACUAGCUAACUGACCGGAUGCCCAUUAACAUUAUAACUCCUACUGUGUGUGUGUGCAGACAGACAGCCUCAUCAUGGACAUAAGAUUGUUUUUUCGAAGAAAAGAGCCAGGUUCAGCUGAAUACAAUCUAUUUGUGUAUGAUUGCCAGUCCAAAGAGGAAGAGAUGAAAAAGGGGAAGGAGAGGAGAGAGGGCAAAGUCAGGAAGAACCAGGUAAGAAAACAAACAGAGAAUAGUGGCAAGCAAAACAGUAACUGUUAAGAUGACAAAGAAAAACAUCCUUUCACAAUAUAAUUUUACAUAUAUGUCAUGGAGGUUAUGUGUUCUCCCCACAUUAAAUACUUUCCAGAAGCACACUUAACAGAUAUCAGUGGACUUCAUUCUAAACAGAACAUCUUCAUUUCAUUUUCCUAAUUAUCUAUUUGUUUUUCUAUUUGUUUAAUUUCACUAUAAAAGGAAGAGAACAAGGAGAGACUCUGAGAGAUGAGAGCGUGCAGACCAGGGAAAGAAAUGCUUUGCAUCACAUUUCAAAUAAAAGUCAAAAAAUAA